GACGAACGCUGGCGGCGUGCUUAACACAUGCAAGUCGAACGAAGUGGCGAACGGGUGAGUAACGCGUAAUCAACCUGCCCUUCAGAGGGGGACAACAGUUGGAACCGACUGCUAAUACCGCAUACUGAAGGAGGGGAUUGCGUCGGAUUAGCUAGUUGGAGGGGUAACGGCCCACCAAGGCGAUGAUCAGUAGCCGGGUUGAGAGGGUGAACGGCCCCAGUGGGACUGAGACACGGGCCAGAAUCCUACGGGAGGCAGCAGGGGGGAAUCUUCCGCAAUGGACGAAAGUCUGACGGAGCAACUCCGGGUGAGUGGUGACGGCCUUCGGGUUGUAAAGCUCUGUUAAUCGGGACGCGGUACCGGAAUAGAAAGCCACGGCUAACUACGUGCCAGCAGCCGCGGUAAUUC
rnacentral:rRNA from 1 species